UUCUGUAGUUGCUCUCUGGAAUUAGAGAGGUUGUGAUGAGGAAGCGAGUUAGCCCUGAGAUCCUAUCCUCAGUAGGGAAGUCUAUUAAGAGGCUGGGAGAGACUUAGAGCAGCUCUGUGGGGAGCCCUGAUAAAAGGGUAGGAUUUGGACUUCCAAAGAGUCAUAGGAAUUUGGUUGAGAAACAAAGCUGGGUAAAACAAAGCAGAACAGAUGGCUAAAAGAUCAAACUUGAGGAGAGUAAAGGGUACAUUUAAAUCAUUACCUGGCCAGAGGACUGAGUCAGGAGAAGAGGUGGACCACUGGACCAGGGCAGCCAUUGGCAGAUGGCACCAGAUAGGAAGACAGUUGUUAUACUACAUGUGGCUACAAGGUGGUGUUCCAGCAGUUUUAAUGAAGAUGAAGAUUCAAAAGACAGAGGCAGGAAAAGAGGGGAGGUGCUCAGGAACCAA